GGAAGACGGCCCUAUGGGCUUGUAAACUGGCUUUUACAGAGGAAGAAACACCCCUUCGUGAAGGGGCUUGACGGUACUCUGCGAAUAAAGAUCGGCUAACUCCGUGCCAGCAGCCGCGGUAAUACGGAGGAUCCAGGCGUUAUCCGGAAUCAUUGGGUUUAAAGGGUCCGUAGGCGGGACAAUCAGUCAGCGGUGAAAGUCUGUGGCUCAACCAUAGAAUUGCCAUUGAUACUGUUGUUCUUGAAUACUUAUGAAGUGGUUGGAAUAUGUAGUGUAGCGGUGAAAUGCAUAGAUAUUACAUAGAACACCGAUUGCGAAGGCAGAUCACUAAUAAUUUAUUGACGCUGAUGGACGAAAGCGUAGGUAGCGAACAGGAUUAGAUACCCUGGUAGA
rnacentral:rRNA from 1 species